rnacentral:rRNA from 1 species
AUUCCAGCUCCAAUAGCGUAUAUUAAAGUUGUUGCAGUUAAAAAGCUCGUAGUCGGAUUUUGGCAUCACGCCGAACUGUCUGCCGAUUGGUAAGUACGGUUUGGCGGGUGCUUCCUUCCGGAGGCUCGUUCCCUUCUUCAUUGAAGGGUUCGUUGGUUCCGGGUCUUUUACUUUGAGAAAAUUAGAGUGUUCAAAGCAGGCCUAUGCUCUGAAUAGGUUAGCAUGGAAUAAUAGAAUAGGACUUUGGUUCUAUUUUGUUGGUUUCUAGGACCGAAGUAAUGAUUAAUAGGGACAGUUAGGGGCAUUCAUAUUCCAUUGCCAGAGGUGAAAUUCUUGGAUUAACGGAAGAUGAACUUCUGCGAAAGCAUCUGCCAAGGAUGUUUUCAUCA